rnacentral:rRNA from 1 species
CCGCCUAUCAAGUCUUGACAAACUCCGAAUGCGCAUCAGUUUUACCUCAGGAGUGAGGGCAUGGGUGCUAAGGUCCGUGCCCGAGAGGAGAAGAAUCCGGACCACCUGCUAAGGUCCCGAAAUGACAGCUAAGUUAAACUAACGAAGUCUGACUGCUAAGACAGCUAGGAUGUUGGCUUGGAAGCAGCCAUUCAUUUAAAGAGUGCGUAACAGCUCACUAGUCGAGGAGUCUGGCGUGGAUAAUAAUCGGGUAUUAAGUUGUCUACCGAAGCAGUGGGAUCAUUGAAAUGAUCGGUAGGGGAGCAUUCCAGUCAGCGUCGAAGGCGUACCGCGAGGUAUUCUGGAGCGUCUGGAAAAGCAAAUGUAGGUAUAAGUAACGAUAAAGGGGGCGGGAACCCCCCUCGCCGAAAGACUAAGGUUUCCUGAUCAACGCUAAUCGGAUCAGGGUAAGUCGGGUCCUAAGGCUCAGCCGAAGGGCGAUGCCGAUGGCAGAAACGGUUAAUAUUCCGUUACUACCUCCAGGAGUGAUGUGGAGACGCAGUAGUGACAAUGCCGCCAUCUGACGGAAUAGAUGGUUGAAGGGUGUAGAUGUUGAUCUUGGCAGGCAAAUCCACCAUGAGAAUCGAACCUGAUAGUAUGCCGCGUCCCUCGGGACAAGGCAAUAGUGCAUGUAAUCAUGCUGCCAAGAAAAUCCGCUAAACAAAAUCCUGUAGGUACCCGUACCGUAAACGGACACACGUAGUCGGGAUGAAUAUUCUCAGGCGCUUGAGUGAAUCACGGUUAAGGAACUAGGCAAACUGACCCUGUAACUUCGGGAUAAAGGGUCCCUCGCUUACGGGAGGCGCAGAGAAUAGGUCCAGGCAACUGUUUAACAAAAACACAGGGCUGUGCUAAAUCGAAAGAUCCUGUAUACAGCCUGACACCUGCCCGGUGCUGGAAGGUUAAGAGGAGACGUCAUCGUUGAGAGAAGCGUUGAAUUGAAGCCCCAGUAAACGGCGGCCGUAACUAUAACGGUCCUAAGGUAGCGAAAUUCCUUGUCGGGUAAGUUCCGACCUGCACGAAUGGUGUAAUGAUCUGGACGCUGUCUCAACCGUGAGCUCAGUGAAAUUGUAGUAUCGGUGAAGAUGCCGAUUACCCGCGAUGGGACGAAAAGACCCCGUGAACCUUUACUAUAGCUUAUCAUUGAAUCUGGGCACGUGAUGUGUAGGAUAGGUCGGAGGCUUUGAAGGGGGUACGCCAGUAUCCUUGGAGCCGCUGUUGAAAUACGACCCUUCAUUUGUUUGGAUUCUAACCCGUGUAUAUGGGGACACUGAUUGGUGGGUAGUUUGACUGGGGUGGUCGCCUCCAAAAGCGUAA